GGUGGCCAGACCCAAUACUGGCCGUUUUCAGCAGCUGACAUUUACAAUUAGAAACAAAACAACCCUUCUUUCUCCAAAGACCCGGUGGCACUCACCGACCUAAUAGAAUCUGUUUUACUUACUCACCAGCCUACUUGGGAUGACUGCCAACAGCUCUUACAGGCCCUCUUAACCUCAGAAGAAAAACAAAGAGUGUUCCUAGAGGCCAGAAAGCAUGUUCUGGGAGAUGAUGGGCGUCCCACCCAGCUGCCUGAGGAAAUUGAUGCUGCAUUCCCACUUAAGAGACCAAACUGGGAUUUUAAUACAGCUGAAGCCCUUCUCUGAGGGCCCAUUUACAGGCCCUACAGAUUGUGCAGAGAGACGUCUGGAGACCUUUGGCCGCUGCUUACCAGGACAAGCUUGAGCAUCCGGUGGUGCCACACCCGUUCCAGAUUGGAGACACCGUGUGGGUACACAGACACCAGACCAAGAAUCUCGAGCCACGGUGGAAAGGACCCUACACCGUCCUCCUGACUACCCCGACCGCCCUAAAGGUAGACGGAGUCGAGGCUUAGAUCCACGCACCACACGUCAAGGCAGUCCGGUCUGAGGAAUUGACUAAUCACAACACUACACCCCAGACAUGGAGAGUUCAGCGCACUCCAAACCCCUUAAAGUUAAAACUCCUACGUGGCUCCUCCUAGCCCUUUUGUGGCCUAGAGUCAGUGGGGAAAUAAGCCCCCACCAGACAGAAAUUUCUUGACCAAGUUGAGUGAAAGAUUUCACUCAAAGUUAACAAAAAAAAAAAAUGGGGGAAUGAAAGACCCCAGCUUAGCAGCAGUA
rnacentral:lncRNA from 1 species